AUCACAGUUCCUAUUUACAUUUUUUACUUCCAGAUUACAAUCUCAUCACAUUAGGGUUUACAAGUUUAAUACAUUUUGUUUUUCCUUGUCUUCUAGUCCCCUAAGCUAGACUGCCUCAGGGUACUUCUACCUCGGUCUCUGUGGUGGGGCGCUAUCUACUGAGCUACGCCCUCGCCUCGCGCCGCCGCGCCGCACACGAACGACCUGAAAACCCCAAAACAACGUGGGGUGAGAACCAACUCCAUGGUUCCCAGUGGGUACGGCCACCCAAGGGAAAAGCUCGACCGAUAGGUCCGAGGAGGCACUGCAACAUGUUAGUUCAACAAUAUACAACAGAUAUAUAUAUUCAAUUGAAAUACAUGCCAUGCCUCACGAUAUGCGAUAUGAAAACCAUGCAACAACUAGUAGAUCAUAUGAAUUCUACUUUUACUUGGCUACUUUAGCUCAUAACUUUACUCUAAGGUUUCUAUUACCUUAGGAUCACAACACCAACCACUGGCUUCUAAGGUUUCUAUUACCUUAGCUCAAGCCUCUAUCUCUGGCUCAUAAGGGUUCCUCUACCCUAUCAUAGCUAACCACCCGACUCGGCUUCGAGUCAAUCAUCUGCGGAUAGUCCGCGCACUGGCUGCUCAACAGCCUACCGCACUCUCUCUGACUCAGCCUCCUAGCGGCGAAAUCGUCGCACACGCUGAAGACGGCUCGAGUCACAAGACUUGACCAUCGGUGGCGAUCGCGUUGCACAUACCCAGCGUGAGCUCGAGACAUGACAUACCGUCUGGCGGCGAACGGGUCGCACCACACCCAACAACGAUCAUGUCAGACUCAGUCACCUGGAGGCACCCGCAUCGUACUUACCCAGCAUGGAUUCAGUCUACUCUGGCGGUCUGAUCCUCAAAUGGCUUAACCACUCUGGCGGCGAAAUCGUCGCACAAACGCCAGCACAAUGGUUCAAGCCCCGGGCGGUGAUCUCCAUGUGAUCGCCCCCAAUCUACCCACGGUACCAAGCUCGGCGGCGAAAUCGUCGCACGAACGCCCUAGCCUGUACCAGGGACAUCAUAAGUCCUGGGAUUCCGGAAUCCACUUACCACAGGUCGAGGGUUCAUAGCCAACCCUAUACUGUCGACCUAGCUCAAUCUAGUGGCUAUACCACUAUACUCAUCAACCUAGGUUCCAACACUCUAGGUUCUAUGUCCACAUCACUUAACCUAGAUACACUUGCUAGGUUCUUAUCAUCUUUGCCUAGAUAUCCACUUCUAGGUUUACUAGUUCAACCUAGGUUUACUAACACUAGGUUAGAUGCCACACACCUAGAUUGUUCAACUCUAGGUUUACUAACCAACCUAUGUUCUUUAACACUAGGUUAGAUGCCACUCGAUCUACCUGACAACUUAGUUGUCCAGUCAUCUCUACUCAUCCUAGAGUUAUCAUCUGGUUUAUAUACAUAUACCAUGCAUCAUGCUUUCUACUUAGCAAUUACUCUUUGCAUCAUUACUAACAUGCAUCCCUUACUUAGCAUCCUCAUCAUGCAUUAUUAUUAAUAUGCAUUUACUUCAUAUCAUGCAUUACUUAGCAUUACAUUAUUAUCAUGCAUUAUUAGCAUUAUGUAACUUGCUCACCAUGCAUUUCUACUAAGCAUUUUCAUCUAUGCAUUAUCAUUAUCAUGCAUUACUUUACAUUAGCUAGCAUUAUCUAAUGCCAUAAUCAUUAUGCUCCACUAUGCAUUGUUAUUAAUAUGCAUUUGCUCUAAGCAUUACCAUUUAUCAUGCUUUCUACUUAGCAUCUACUUUAUGCAUCUUUAUUAACAUGCAUCCUUGCUCUUGUCUACAUGCACAUGCAUCAACAUGAGAUUACAUUGCUAAGACAUAAAGGGCGACCUAGUCGCUUCGGUAAGCACAACCCACCUUUAACUCGCGUUCCGAUUGCUCGUCGACACUUGCAAUCGGCCUCCCGCGGCACUCGGCACCCGGCACGGCCCGAUACUGCAACUGCGCCUCAACCGUGCUCCGCUUCGCACCCCCGAAAAUUAUAGGUCUUCGGUUAUGUGCCACGAUGCCUCAAAUCCAUUUCCAUGAUUUUACAACGUCGCCUCGGCCCUUUCGGCGAACCCGAAGCCUAAACGUCCGUUUCUUUAAUAACUUUAUAACGGCUCGUCGGAUUACCGAACCGUCUUCGCCAACGCGUUUCGUUACCUAGCAAUUAGGUUUACGAAAGGUCAAAUGAGAUCAAACCCUUAUACUUUACAAAACCCCAAUUUGGAGCUCUAAUAUGCUACUAUUGCAAGAAUAGCCAUAUUAGCCUUUAAUUCAAGCAAAUAGCUUCUACUUAGCAUCUAGGGAGUCCUCUAAAUCCAUUUCUAGGAUAUAUAUAUUAUUCCCUAGCAAUCCACCAUUAGAGGUUCAUGAAGCUUACCUCAAACACAAGCUUCCACUUAGACCAAGGAAGGAGAAGAUAAAGAUGAAGCUUCAACUCCAAGCUACUUCAAUUUUCUUCAAGCUUGCCUCAAUUUUCUUCUCCAAUUCUCUCUUUGGUAGAGAGAUCUCUCUCUUUGGUUGUGUGCACAAGGGAAAGAGAGAAAAGGCUAAAUCCUUCAUAUAUAUAUAUAUACAUAUAGGACA
rnacentral:lncRNA from 1 species